rnacentral:lncRNA from 1 species
CCGUAGGCUUCUUCACAGUGAAGCAAACACAAGUUUUAGAGAGAAGAGAAGAACACGUACACGCAAGAUCUCGAUGCAAUUCUCUCACGAAUAAGGUACAAAGUUUCAUCAACCUUUUUGUCUUAAGACAUAUAAUAUUGACUUAAAUCUCGUCUACUUUCAUCACACACAAAGUCUCUUGGCCAAAGAGAGAGUAUUAAGAUAUACAAACGCUCGCCCUUAUCAGCGGAAUAAUUAUAUAUAUAUAUAUAUAUAUUUCCAUAAUUAUAUAUGUUUUGGAUUUUAAUUUCAACCGCCGAUUAAAGGUGGCUAAAUAAGCAGCGGGAGAGUCACCGGAAGAUUGUCGGAUAUUUGUCCAGCAGGUGAAAUCUCCAUCUCAGCUUCUGCUCCCACAUGAUGAUUCUUCUUCAUCUGUACGAUAAUCAUAGGUCAAAAUCACUAUUCACUUUCUUCUUUUUGUCUUCUAUCAACCAUAAAAACACAUAAGGUUAUCUUUUUUUUUUUUUUUUUUUUGUCUGCCUUUUACGUUUAAGCUUUUAAGUUUGGAAGCAUGUACCUAAGCUUUUACCAACCAGUUAAUAAUCUAACCUAUAGCAUGUAAAAAAGUAGCACUACUCCUAGACAGACACUUGGAGUUGAGCCAAUUAUUGGUACCAAACCUAAACCAUAACAAAAAAAAUAAACCCUAAUCGGUUCAUAGACUCUUUUUUCGUUAAAGGGUGAUUAAAUUAAAAUAAAGACAACGUUUACACAACUUUCAAGGAAACCAAUAUUUAACCAAACUAGACUGAACCAGACCAUAUAACCUGAAAGAGAAUCAAACUGAACCAAAACCUAAAUAAACCUUUACACACAAAAAAAGAACCAAAACCUAGUUAUGCGAUGUCCAACAACCGAAAAAUAUAUUUAUAUAUUUAGUAAAAUGAUAUAGCAAUAAUGUAAUUUCUUACUCUUUAUUAAAAAAAAAAAAGAAUAACUUAAAAAUUAUAGUGUAAUCAUUAACUUAUACAGUAACUUUUGUUGUUGUAACAAUCCUGACUUCUCAUCUGAUAUAUAUAUAUAUAUAUUAGAUAGCUUUAUCAAUAAAAUUACUAUCUUAAAAUUAUCUUAAAACUAUUCACCUAUCUUUCUAAAAUCCGAAUUAAAUCGGAAUCAAGAUUUCCCCUAACUCAAACGGACCAGCCCGAAUCGAAUUUCUGUUCUUAUUUAGUAAUAAUCUCACUCACCCUGAUAAACCAAAUCUACCAACAACCAAAAUGCCCUAAUCUUGAUGAGAAGUAUUUUCUAGAAUACAAGACAGAAAUGUGUUGAGUAGUGGCUGCCAAAAAAGAAGAAGAGAAAGUGCUAACUAGUGAAUGCUUGAAGUGCAAUGUCUAUAUGUAGUAUUCAUGGACAAGAAGUGCUUCCUAGUUAUGCAUAUACUCUGUAUAGGAAAUGUAGCUUUCGUUACCUGGCUAGCCAAAACCUGGUUCUCUUCUUUCAGCAAUUUCUCCUGUUUUAAAAAGACCAACACUUUCAGCAAAUACUGAUCAAGUUUCUAAACCUAACUUCUUCAGAUUUUGGAAUCCAAAACAUAUGCAUUGGGAAGUAGUUGCAAAGAUGUGUGCAAGCUCGUUAAGAAGACUUAGAGAAACAAAUGACAACACACAAAACAAUAUAUCUGAUGUGCUAUAAACUUGGAAUCAAAUAUUUGACCUUUUCUUUGAGGUUCUCAACAAGCUUCAACAUUAGUUCUGUCUGCAACAAAUAAAAGCAGCACGGUUGUUUACGGCAAACAAAAUUCAGAAAAGAGUAGACAUUACAGAAUCAACUUACCUUCUUGGCUCUAGUUACGGAGAGGGCAGUCUCAAAGUGUUCCUCCAAUUGAACAAGAGUAUCGACACUCACAUUAUUGACAUUUGAUCCCACAAGCUUGCUGCAUAUAUUCAUAGUUUGACAAAAAACCCUAAUUCCUUUGUAUUCAAAUAUAGUCUUAGUUAGUACUAACCUUUCCACAAGUUCAAGUAGCUCAUGGUGUGAACCAUAGUUCAGAGCUUUUGACUGAAUAUCCUGCCCAUGAAAAAGGGACAGAAGAAGCGGUAAAAGACAAGGGCUACGAGAAUUUUGAUAUGCAUCUGGAGCCACCACCUCAUUUUAUAUUUAGGAUCACUCGGUAAACUAAUAAUAGUAAAUUUACUCCUUAUAAAACUCCAUCUGGGAAAAGAUUCAAAAUGUUUGUAUUACCAAGGCUUUAAGAUCAUCAGCAUGUUGUUUCCCAUAUCGAUCAAGGAUCUUCACCAGGCUGGAGAGAAGACAAAAAAAAUAUAUAUAUAUGUUAGGAUCAAAACUACUAUAGCUAACCCUUGAAAAGACCACUGGAAAUGAAACAUGUAUAUGGCAUCAGAAGAGACAUUUUGAGACAACACCUUAAUUUUUACACAUGUAUAUUAUAUAUAACACCACUAAUAUUCUUAACAUUUUAAAAAAAAACAAUAAUCUUAGUAUUCAUGUUUAAGCACCGGCACAUCUGAAUUUGCACCCUUUUUUUUAUAUAUUCGAUCGGCUGAUCCGGUCAGCCCCGGAGGAACGAACCGAAGUGCUACCAUGUGGACUCGUCGCCAACACCUAGGUGUUGGACUACCACACUGUCUAACCCCGAGUUUAGAAUGCUUUCUCACUAAUACUUGGGGGUAUCCAGUUAGUCUAAUCCCGGAUACCAUGUGAAUUGCUUGGGCCAAAACCAAAGCCUAGACUUCCCACACAAAAAUGAUUUUUGUUUCCAGGGUGGAUCGAACCUGGGUUAAUUUCUUCCAACUUUUCCCCAAUUCUUCCUUACCAGGUGGAUCGAACCUAGGUUUUUUUUCUGAUAUAUGAUCUUUUUAUCUCUCAAGAAAAGAAAAGAACUUUAAAAUUUACCAAGAAUUGUUCGAGGUUUGAUUAUCCGAUGCAAUAUGUGGGUUUACAUGUAUUUAUUACUCCCUCUGUUUUUUAAAAGUUGUCGUUUUAACUGUAUUUGGACAAAUUAAGAAAAGGUAUACAAUGACUAUAUUAAUCUCAUAAAAAUGAUAAGUAAUUAUUUACAAAUAAUUUGUGUUCAAUAAAAUGAGGGUAAUUUGGGUAGUUAUUGGCAUAAAUUACAUCAUUACCUUAAAACGACAACUAAUUUAAAAAAAAAAAAAACUCUAAAACGACAACUAUUCAAAAACGGAGGGAAUAUAUAUUUUGGCAGAUUGAAAAUAACUUUUUCCUCAAAGAAAAGUAAUACUAAUAUUUUAAGGCAUGCAGAUGUUAUCCUGUGAUCUAUUAAUUAAUGUAUAUAUAGCGCUGGCUUUCAUUAACUUAAAGUCAAACUAGUUAAAAUCAUCCUUAAUCAUACAUUAACUUAACUUAAUGUAUAUAAGAUCAUCCUUAACGGCAAGCUCUUAACAAAUUUAUAGGUAGAUCUUAGACAUUAAUUAAUUUAAUUUAAUUCAGAAAAUAAGCUUAUAGUUAAGAGACGUCUCUUAGAGAAGAGUCAAAACUGAAACUAAGAGACAGCCACGUGUCCGUGUAUGAGUGAUUAAUGGGUUAAAUUAGGCCUACAGUAAAUAUAUAAAGUAGAAAAAAAUCGGAAACAUUUUUUUCCCUCUCUCUCUUACGCGAUUUCACCGAAAAACGAAACCGGAUAUGAUUUCGUUGAAAUUAUAUUUUUAUAUUAAUAUAUUUUUUUCCUAAGAACCACAAGUUAAGAAUCUACCAAUAAUGUUGAUCAAAGAACCCUAAUCAUAAUCGUCUACUGUCCAGAUUGUUUCUAUGCAUUUAUGUUUGUGUUUCUAUGUUAUAAUUAUUGAUACAAUAUAAACAUGUAAACGCAGCCGUAAUCUUAAAUGGAAACAAGCAAUUGAGGCUUAAGAGAGUGUGUACACACACAUCUAUUUUUUGUUUGUUACAGAAAUCAUAUACUUAUGAAAUUAUACACAUAUACACCUGAUGAGCCACAAAGUGAUGACAUUGAAGUAAGCAUUGAAGUAAGCUGACGUCCACUACGUAUGAGGAAGCCAAAUUCCAAGUAAAUGCAUGGACUGAGUCUUACGGAAUCAUAUUUCCUGUAAAUAAUUGAAAGACACUUCCCUAAAAAUAGAAAACAGUGGAAGACUGCUUGCAAUUCAUUUGCAACUUGUAUUAUUCUAAUUGCAACCUCUAUCAGUGCUUCCAUUUUGGUUUUGAUCCAUACUACAACUUUUAGCAUCAAAACAACACAUAUCUUCUUUACAAAUCGUGGUAUCAAUAGCAUUAUAAAUCAACCUAUUUACCCUCUAUAUUCUAUCAUAUCCAUUUCCUUAUGAAAUUUGAUCGGGACUACGAAACAAUGGUUUAGAAAAGAAUUUAAAAAAGCCUCUUCAUGAGUUCAUUAGUAAGCUCGUGUCAAAACGGUGACAUCAGCUAUUUGUUUCAAAGUAAUACCAUAUCAACAUAUACGAGAAAACUUUUCGAAUUUUUCAAUGAACCUUGAGGACAAGGUUCUUUCUAGCGAUAUCGCUAGUAUUGAUGAGCCAUAACAUGAUCAUGAUGAUGUGGCGGUAAGCAGAUGACCAUAAGUAUAUAUGAGGAAUCCAAACUCCAAAUACAUGGACCGAGUCUUAAACAAACUCAUAUUUCUAUUUUAUGUUUUUUUGCAAAUAAUCAAAAGACUCUCCUAAGAAUAUAUAGGAAGCCGGUCUUCGUAUUUGUAUUUUCACUUUCAAUUUAUUCCUCGUUUGUAGAAACGGUGAGGUUCCAAUUUCCUAUAUUUAAACCCCAAAUUCAAGCAAUAAAAGUAAAGAGUUUUCUGCCAUUGAAGUUACACUAACUUAUAUUACUAGGAAACCUAUCAUACCUAUAUAUAAAUAUAUCUUCUAUAGAAGGAAGCGACUAAGACAGAUAAAACUAAACUACAUAAUGACCUUAUACAAGACCCAACAAAUUUGACAACACUUCCACUAAUUCAUUUUUUUUUUUUUUUGUUAAUAGGUAUCAGUUCCAUUGUGAAGUCAAAACUAAGUAUGCAAAAAUGAGUUACUGAGUAACUAUUUCCACGUUCUAAAAGGCUCCUUCUUUAUCAAAUCAUAACUAAGACCAGGAGUUCUAGUCAGGUGUCUCGACUAUUCCAAGGCUGGACCAAACUUUCAGUAUAUAAGGGGUGAACAAAUCCUAAGUAUGCAUCAAGUGAGAAUCGGCCAGCGAUCUUGACCAACAUGGCCAAACGACUACAACCACUUGGUUAAUAUAUUGGAGGGUUGUAGUAAUUAAACACUACACCAGCAAUUUUGACAACUUAUAGGAUUAUAAUGAUUCAUUAUAGAUACGUUCCAAAGAGGUUCUUAUUUCUUAUAUGAAGACAAGUUUUGAGGGAUUUUCAAUUUCCUAGAGGCACCAAAGAAACAAGGCUGUGUUAUUGACAAUUUCUAUGACAAAAGACACAAGAUACAAAGGUUGUGUGAUUGUCGAUUUUCACAACAAAAGUUACAAGGUAGUGGAUUCAGAUAAUCACCAAGUAAUAGGUCCACGACAAAGAUAGGAAUUCAUAGAAGAUCAACAAAUAGUCUUAUAUAGUCAAUAGCUGCAGAAUGUGGUAUAUACAUUAUUCAGCAUUAACCCCAUAUCAAUCCUAUAGAUCUCCCGUAGGUGCAUUGCAUUGCAUACAAAUCCGAGAGAUCCAAUGAAUUUUAAUCACUCUGAAAAGAGAGACAUUAAUCAUUAGUCAACUCUUCAAAAACUUAAGGAAUCUCUAAAGCAAAGUAACAAUCACAGAUGGCUUGAAACUUCACUAAACAACAUCGAGCACGCAUCAGAUCGUAUCAAACAAAUCGUGAAGGACAUGCAAAUUAUUUCCAAAGAAAAUAAUAAAAUCCAUGCAGAAAUUUUUUUAUAAGAAAUAUAGAGAGAGAAAUGAACAAAAGUUAGAAGCUUUAUCUUCAUCACGACAUUGUUCUUCCUUAAAUUAGGUUAUCUCAUGUAUCUCUCAUGGUCAUAGAAAAAGACACUAACAAACACAGAACCAAGAAACAACAAGAGAUUCGCCGGAAAAAAAAAAAACGGUUUAUUAAUUGUUUUUUUAUUUUUGUCUUUUAUUUUUAUUUUUCAGAAAAGUAAAGAGCACAAAACUGAAGAUUAAAGGGGAAAUAAAUCGAAAUCCAGAUAAGGAAGAGGCGUACUUAUCGCCGGAGGAGAAGCUGUAGAGCUUGCCGGAAGCAGAGACGACGAGAAGAGCGACGGAUGCGUCACAGAGAACAGAAAGCUGACGAGCUUUCUCGAUGAGACCGUUGCGACGUUUGGAGAAGGUGACUUGUCGGCUACUUUUGUUCUCAAUUCGCUUGAUUUCUAGUUUUUUUCUCCCCAUGGCUUCUGUCUCCGAGAGGGCUUUAUUCCCUAAUUUGAUCCUCAGGUUGGGUUCGAAGUCGCCGGAGAUACUAAGCGUUUUUCUCUUUCCUUUUUUUUUUCUAUUUUUUUUCUAUUUUUUUUAUUUCUUUCUAUUUUUUGUGCCUAUCUACUUUUUCUUCGUUGGGCAAGUUUUUUUUUUUUUUGGGGUAAACGAGAGUGAUGAAAAAAAAAAUAUGUGACUAAAAACGUUGCGUUUUGAAGACAAGGUAGCCACGUGUACCGCAUGACGAGCGCAUUUGCUGCUCUUGCGUUGCCUUCCCCUGCGGAUUGAACUAUUGUAGAAAGAGCUCUAAACCCCCACUCUCCAUCAUCUUUGAACUCUGUCGUCGACAUAUCAAAACCUUAAAACUGGUUCUCUUUAUCGCUAGCUAUUGUAUAACACCUUUUCAUAAUUUGGUAAGACACGAGUUAAGACUUUUACAUAAACAACCACACAUAAGGAAUUCAGUCAUUUGUUCUUUGAUCUUUAUUCUAAAUUUAACCCAAAUCUUUGGCUACCAUCUGAUGUAGACCAUUACAUAUCUGAUGUUUUGAACUAAAGCUAUUUUGCUCAACUCGCAUACAAUUUCAUUGGACCAAACCAAACCUACAAAGACUUUCAAUUGGAUUGUAUUUACCACAAAAGUGUACUAAAAUCAAAGUUUCUAUAGAUCUUGUAAGCAUAAGUUUGUUCCCUCGCAUAAUCAGGUUGUUUUUUUUUUAUCAUUGCCACAUUAUAGCUACAUGUCUAUACUGUUGGUGUACUCAGUAGUUUUUUUUUUUUUUUUUUUUUUUUCAUGGUGUACUUAGUAGUUAGUAUAUAAUAUUCACAAGAUUUGCAUUCAUUUGCUCGUUUCUUAUUGCAUAUGCAAAUUUUAUUUCCUGCAAAUCAGACCAAUAGUUAAGAUUGCGCAUAAAACAAAGGUAAAGAACACUGGAUAUCACCACAGAAAUUUACUGACCAAAUGAUUUUCAUGGACUUCCAAACGAUGGAAAAAUGUUGGUUGAAAAACAAAGGGGAAUGUUUACUACUGUAUUAAUUAUGUGGCAGAUAAAAAUAGAUAUCUGUUAUAAACCAUAUGGAUGGACUCCAUAACCGGUCCAUGGCCCAUUAGGGUUUUAUCUUAUUCUUUGUAUCCUGCUAUUAUCCUUGUAUAUAUAUUCCUUAUACUAUUAAUGAAAGACACAGUUCACAACACGUUAUCAGCACGAUAGUCUUUCACCCUAAAAAUUAAAAAUUCCGAAACCCUAAAUCUCUCUCACAAAAACCAAAACCAAAACUCUAGCCGUCUCUGCAAACAAAAUUCUAAACUCUAUCGAGAUAAGUUUUCUGUUCAUAUUUGUUUCUGCACGGAUUAUCUGUUAUCAAUCCUGUCUGUAUUUCUGCACGAACUUUGCACAGAUGAUCUGUUAUCUAUUCUGUCUGUAGUUUUGCACGAAUUUUGCACGGAUUAUAUGUUAUCAAUUUUGUCUGUAUUUCUGCACGAAUUUUGCACAGAUUAUUUGUUGUCAAUUCUGUCUGCAGAUUUGCACAAAUUUUGCACAGAUUAUUUAUUAUCAAUCCUGUCUAUAUUUUUGUACGAUUUAUGCACGGAUUAUAUGCUAUUGAUUCUGAACUGUUUUAUGCAGUAUAUUACAGAAACCCUAUUUUUUUUCAUUUUACUAAUGUAAUAGCCAUAUUUCCAUGAGCAAAAUUUUGAGUUUCUCAGGAAUCAGGAUUAUAUAUAUUGAGAUUUUGUAGGAAGUCCCAACCAGCUAAGAGACAUAACUGUUUCCAAUCUCCGUAUCAGAUCUCGGGUCUCUGUUAUCUUCUCCAAUUAAGAUAAGUGCUAUUUAUUUAUUAUGCUUUAUAUACAUGAUCCAAUUAAAGUUUGAUAAGAUAAAAUUUGCAUGAAAAUUGGCACAUGUGAUUUGAUUUAUGAUUGGAGAAUUAAUUGAGAAGUUAGUGAAUGGAAAGAUGUUUAAUGCAUGGCAUGAUAGAUUGAAUGUUUUAAUAUAAACUCUAGGUUAAACCGAAAGUAAACCGAAACCCUAAAUCCUAGGUUAAACCGGUUUAAUAAACCCUAAGUCACGGUUUAAGAUCAAGUUUCCCAUAUAAGGAAAGUUUCCAGAAAUAGAAAGUUUUCAUAAAUAUAAAAUCACCAUAAAUAGAAAGUUUCCAUAUAAGGAAAGUUUCCAGAAAUAGAAAGUUUCGUAAAAUAGCAAGUUUCCCAAAAUAAAAGGUUCCCUAAAGUAGCAAGUUUCCCAAAAUGGAAAGUAACCAAAAUAGGAAACCCCUUCAUAAGGAAAUAUUCCAAAACCCUAAAGUACACGUUUGUUUAGGAUUUCUUUCUAGAUGAGAAAUAGAAAGUUUCCAUAAAUGGAAAGUUCCAUAUAAGGAAAGAUUCCAUAAAUAGAAAGUUCCAUACAUAAAACCGAAACCCUAGAAAAAACCCUAGUACUAUAAAUCGCGGAUGCUAAAACCCUAAAACUUAACCGCAAAAUCAUAAUAUCCUAAUCUAGUAUGAUCCGAUUGUUUGGUUAUUUUUUGUUGCAUACUAGAUCAAUCUUCUAGGGUUGAUUUCAUCCAUAUAUAUAUAACAUGAUUGUGUAGAAAACACUUGCUGAAGACAAGCAUGGUUCGGUCUUAAAUACCGCAUGACUUGGUCUAACCGAUUACAUGAGUUCUCAUUUAACUCUAUAUUUUAUAGAUGUCAAAAAUCAACUAUUAUGAAUACACGGCACUCAAUGCCUCUCGUGACAAUUAUUUACAAUGGGCUUUGGACACUGAGAUUAUCCUAAAGGAAAAAGGGGCUUGGUGAAUCUAUUGUGGAAGAAAACAAUGUCACCAAAAGAGAAAGAUAUAAGGCGAUUACUAACAUACGCCAUCACCUCAAUGAGAGUCUCAAAAUCAGUACCUCACUAUUAAGAAUCCUCUGGACCUCAGGACGGUGCUAUUACCCAAAAGCCCGAUUCGAUCGAAAGAAUCUCAGAUUCCAGGAAUUCAAAUCCAUGAAUGAGUAUAACUCAGCACUAUUUAAAAUAGUGUCAAUACUGAGAUUCUGUGAUGAGGAAGUUACUGAGAAUGACUUGCUAGAGAAAGCAUUCUCGACCUUUCACACAAACAAUAUAUUGCCUCAGCAACAAUAUCGUGAAAAAGGUUUUUACCACAUAUGCAAGUCUAAACUCUUGUUUUUGGGGAGGACUCCUCUGUAGAGAGUGCUAAGGAGUGAGGCUUUGGAGAAACCGUGAUGAGAACAUUGAUUCUGAUAUGCUACUUGCUGAGCAAAACAAUGAGUUAUAAAUAGUGAAAUGAGACCUCCUGGUCCUACCCCAUUAUCAGAAGCCCAUUGGGCUGAAGAGCCUAAAGAGCCUAAAGAGACUAAAGAGUCUAACCACGUCCAAAGAGAUAAGUAUCAUGGCCACAGUCAUGGUAAAUGGAAUGAACGUGGUAGAAGUGGAAAAUAUAAUUUAUAUGAUCAAGGAAACCAUUCAUAUGGUUAAGGCCACCGACCCGACUUUGGUCGUAAUCGAGGUAGGCCACGGUAUACCCAAACCACAACACUCAAAUAAACUUGUUUGCUACUGAUGAGUAAUGGGGAAACCAUUGGACUAAGACGUGCAGGAUACCUAAGCAUCUCGUUGAUCUCUAUCAAGAGAGUUUGAAAAGAAUCAAGAAGCUCAUUUAGUUCAUCACGAUGGUGAAGAAGAUUUCGACCAUGAGAUAGAUGAUUAUGAGAAUUCAAUAAACGAAAUAUCUAAAGACAUGGUUCAUUAGCUAAAUUGCGGGUAUAGCUAAAUUUAGUAAAGGCUAAGGGCAGGCCCAUGGCAGGCCCAUAUUCCCAAGGGCACGCAUCCUCAGAUGCUUCAUAUUCACCUAGCUCAAGGGGGCUUGUUGAGUUUCAAAGAAAUGUGUUUGAAUGGUUUUCACAUUGAAACUAAGGGUGAAGGGAACAAAGGAUUCCCAUAUAUUACUAAGAGCACCCAAGACCAUGAGAAGGUCUUAGAGACUAUACUCGCGUCAUAGAUCUUUACUAUGCCAAGGUCAAUAUGAUAAAGGCUAAUAAAGUAAACAAAUAAGGGCUUACUGAGAAAUUCACUAAUGGCAUGACCGGCUUGGCCAGCCCGGUUCGAAUAUGAUGCGUAAAUUAAUUCAAAGUUCUAAAGGGCACACCCUUAAAGAAAACCGAGUUUUCCCUAAGCACCACACGUGCAUAGCCUGUUCACAAGGGAAGCUUAUCACUCGACCUUCACCAGUCAAAGUGUCUAAAGAGACCUUACAUUUUCUAGAACGACUUCAAGGAGACAUAUGUGGUCCGAUCCAUCCACCUUGUGGAACAUUUCGGUACUUCAUGGUUUUAAUCGAUGCAUCAACCCGCUGGUCGCAUGUUUGCCUAUUGUCUUCUAGGAACCAAGCGUUUGUUAGGUUAUUGGCCCAAAUCAUCAGAUUGCGAGCCUAUUUUCCAGAUUUUCCUCUUAAGACCAUACGUUUAGAUAAUGCUGGUGAAUUCACUUCCCAAGCAUUUAAUGACUAUUGUAUGGCCAUGGGGGUAAGUGUGGAACAUCCUGUGGCACAUGUCCAUACACAUAACGGAUUAGCUGAAUCCCUCAUUAAACGAAUUCAACUAAUUUCUCGACUAUUACUCAUGAGGUCGCAGCUUCUGAUCUCAGCUUGGGGACAUGCAGUUUUACACGCUGCUUAACUAAUACGCAUUCGGCCAUCUAGUGAGCAUAGAUAUUCACCAUCCCAACUACUCACAGGUCAGGAGCCAGAUAUGUCCCAUCUAAAGACAUUUGGGUGUGUCACCUAUUUACCCAUAGCACCACCACAGAGAGCAAAUAAUGGGACCUCAAAAGGGGAUGGGAAUAUACGUUAAAAAUGAUUCUCCCACCAUCAUUAAGUAUCUCGAGCCAAAGGCCAGAUACAAGGAUUGUCAUCUCAAUGAAUCGUUUUCCCAAGACUAGGUGGAGAGACUAACAAGCUGGUCAAAGAACUUACAUGGAAUCAAACAUCCUUCACAUGGCAAGAUCCUCGGACUCCAUCAGAGAUCCAAAAGACUAUAUAUCUGCAAAAGCUAGCUAAAACAGUUGCCAAGAUUCCUAUAAUGACCCAAAGAGAGUAACAAAAUCGUACAUACCAGCUUGUAAUGCACCAGUACAUAUUGAUGUUCACAAGGAACAUAAUCAAGUUGCUACAGAGGCUACAACACGUAAGAAACGUGGUAGACCCAAAAGGUUCCAAAGAUAAGAACCCUCGGAAAUCAAAGAAAGGUGCAAGGGAAACCGAGAAGGUUCAAGAAACCAUAGACAUGGCCGGCUAAUAGACAUAACCCUAAGGUACCAAUCAAUGAGGUUUGGGACGCCAAACCUCAAGGUCCUGAAGGUGUAAAGAGAUCUCUAUAAACUAUAUCAUGUCUAGAAUACAAUGGAACAAAAAAAAAUGUCGACAUAAAUGAUAAUAUAUUUGCGCACAAGGUAGCAACUGAAAUGAAUGAGGAUCAGGAGCCCACGUCUAUACUAGAGUGCACUCAAAGACCUGAUUGAUUAAAAUGGUACAAGACCAUAAAACGUGGAGCUAAGAAUCAUUAAGAAGAAGAAUGUGUUUGGUCCAAUACAAAGGACACCAUUCAAUGUAAAGCCAGUGGGACAAAUGAGUCUUUGUGAUAGUGUGAAAUAAACAUAGUGAAAGCGUGAUAUAUCAGACACGGCUUGUCGCACAAGGAUUCACACAAAGACCAGAAAUAGAGGAGAUAUACUCCCCUAAGGUGGAUGCUAAGACAUUUAAAUUUUUGCUAAGUCUGGCUAUAUAAAAGAGAAAGAUUUGCGGCUAAUGGAUGUAAUGCCUGCAUAUUUAUAUAAGUCCACUGGAUAAUAUAUGAGAUUACCAGAGGGUAUUGAGCUCAAAGAUAAGAAAGAUUUUCGAGAACAGCACUGCAUAAGGCUGGACAAAUCCUUAUAUGGACUGAAACAAAGCGGACGUAUGUGGUAUAACCGGUUAAGCGAAUAUCUCAUCAGAGAAGGCUAUAAAAACGAUCCGAUCAGUCCAUGUAUUUUUAUCAAGAAGUUUGCAAACAAAGGAUUUGUAAUCAUAGCAGUGUAUAUGAAUGAUUUAAACCUCUGGAUAAUCGCCCAAACAGUUGAGUAUAUCUAAAGAAAGAAUCUCAAAUGAAAGACCUAGGCAAUAAUUAAGUUCUGUUUGGGAUUACAACCUGAGUACGUGAAUAAUGGAAUCCUUGUGCAUCAAAUGGCAUACACUGAAAGAGUAUUCAAGGAAAUUUAAUAAGGACCAGGCCCGCCCAUUGACCAGGCCCAAUGGUGGUGAGAAGCCUCAAAUUGGAUAGUGAUCCAUUCAGUCCGGAAAUGCCAUACCUCAGUGCCAUAGGAGUUCUAAUGAAUUUGGCUAGACACACUAGACCAAACAUUUGUUUUGCCGUGAGUCUCCUGUCUAAAUUUAGUUCAUGAUCAACCCAAAGGCACUGGAAAGGUUUAAAGGAAGGUUUGAUUAAGUUUUAAAGUCUAUUCUUCCUGCGUUAUUUACUUGGGUUUAUUCUAUACUGAUCUAACCAAAGAAGGUCCAGUUUGCUUUGGUUUAGUUUGAUUUACUAAUGCAGGAUAUUCAUAAGAUCAGAUUAUGGUAUGAUCAAUGAAUAGGAACUAUGUGUGGCUUGAUCCUUUCCAAGGGUACGUAGGCAGCCUUCCUUAAGGCGCAUCUACUACUACAUCAAAGACCAUCAUAUUUGAAGACAACGCAUCUUGUAUUGCUCAACUCAAGGAUGGCUACACUAAGAGGGAUCGAACGAAGCAUAUUCUGCCCAAGUUCUUCUUCACUCAUGAAUUACAGAAGGACGGUCAGGUCAAAGUUCAACAGAUCCAGUCAAGUGAGAAUUCAGCCGACUUAUUCACCAAAUCAUUGCCGACUUCAACGUUCCGGAAGCUCAUUCAUCAGAUCGGGAUGCGCGGACUUAAGGAUCUACAGUGAUACUCAAAUCAGGGGGAGUAAUGCGUGUUGUACUCUUUUUCCUUCACCAUGGUUUUGUCCCACUGAGUUUUCCUGGUAAGGUUUUAAUGAGACAAUAUUCCCCAGCGCAUUAUAGAGAUCCCGGUUUAGUAUCGGGCACGGUUAUGUCUUCCAAGGGGGAGUGUUAUAAACCAUAUGGAUGGACUCCAUAACCGGCCAAUAGCCCAUUAGGGUUUUACCUUAUUCUCUGUAUCCUGCUAUUAUCCUUAUAUAUAUAUUCCUUAUACUAUUAAUGAAAGACACAGUUCACAACAAUAUCGUAUUUUUAAUAAAAACUUAAUACGAAAAGUACUUCUUCGAAUCGAUGGGUGAAUGGGCAUAUGAUUUAUAUCCAAUCAUCCCAUUACCUCCUUUCCCUAUUCUGGAUAUGUCAAGCCCAUUAUCUUUUCUUCAAAGCAAAAAAAAAAAAAAAAAAAAAUCUCUUUUUCAAGGCAUCUCCAUGUUUUGGAGUUUUAAUUUAUAUAUCAAUGUUUAAUUCUAAUAUUAUAGUUUCAAGUUUUCAACUUUCAAUCUUCGAAAACGACAAAGAUAUAUUCCCAUACAAUUAGAUUGAAUUUACGGUUUUGCAACUCGAAUAAUACGGAUUUUGCCAUUUCCACUUCUCUUUAAACAACUGGUCAAUUAAAGUGGAGGAAAUAUAUUCCCCAUAGUAAAACAACAACAUGCAGUCGUUAAAAUUCAUUACCAUUUAUUUACUGCUUCUGUCUGUAGCAGUAAAAAUACUAGUCCAUAAUCAUUCGUUACUCUAUAGUAUUAGACUCUUUUUUAUUUCUUGAUUUGCUUCGAUGAUGACAUUAAACACGUUCUCGGUAUACAUUUCACCUUCACGAUCGAUCUUUCUUCUUCCUUCUUGAUCGUCUCCUUAGCCAUCUCCAUAAUCUUUGAUCUGUCCAAAUAUUUAGUCAGAUCACAAUUUUUGUAAUUUGAGUUGACUCUGUGUGUACUACUAACCGUUCCUCGUUGAACGAGUUGGAUCGUCUCAACGAUGGUUCAGCCGUGACUCGUUCUUGACUCACCGACUCGACGAUGCUUCCGCUGAAAUACUCUUUCUCCUCCGCCUGAGGAUUCCCGAACCUUGGAUUCUCCGACAUGAACCUUAUCAUCUCACGUUCGUCAUCGACGACAGUCUUCUUCACAAUGUUCUUGCAUAAAACUCCUUUUCGAAGAUUCUCUUCUUUUUGUCUCGGAUUCAUCACGCUCGGUGCGCAGUACUUGGUGGCGGCGAUGUGCCCGCACGAUAUCAUCUGGAGCCACAUCGACCCACGACCCGAUCCGGGUUCCACCGGAUCUCCGUCCUCGACCCGCGUCGAAACGUCGAGUCGACAAGGCUUCACCACCGGGUUGGAACGAGUCAACUCGGACAAGUGAGAACGUACUUGCAAAUCUUGUUCUUUCUUGACCAAGAUCGGUUUUUGUUCGGUGGAUUCGAUUGUCUCCGUCGAUAAGCCUCGAGAACAGCGAGAUUUCGGCGUCGUGGAAGAUGUAUAACUCGUUUUCUCUUCGUAAAGUUCGUACUCUCCGUCUUCUUCGACGUAGAGCUCUGAGUCAUCAAACGACGUCGUUCUGUUUUGAGGUUUGAGUUUUGACCUGAGAAGUCGACUUUUUGGAGUUUCUUCAAUAGAACCAGACAAUGGUCGGUUCACAUGUACUUCUUGAAAUUUGUCUGAAAAAAAAUUUAGAAACAAGAAGAUAAAAAAAAACUCCCUUGCAAAACCACAAAUUUCAAAUUUGUAUGAUUUUCGAUUAUCUUAACAACUUUACCGGUGAUUUCAGAUCCUUUCAAGACAUACUCAGCACAGUCCGAAGGGUAAAUCACAUCGUUCUCUGCUAAGUCAUUCCAAACGAAUCCAUUUCUAUAGCUCCUGAUGAAUAUAUAUCGAUAUAAAAUGCAUAAGUUUAGCCCGCGCCCUAAGAUUACAGAUUUUGCCUCAGUUUAAAAGCGUUGUUACGCAUAUUGUGAUGGCAUGCACUUCCCUCUCAGGACCGUAAGCCGGUUCAUCACAUCUUCAUGAUUGAAAUAAACAGUUUCCCAAGGAUACCGAUGCUUCGUAUUCUUUGCAAGAUCCAUCCGAGGCAAGUCUAAAUAUAUAAUGAUUAAUUAAUAGUAUAUAUGUGUAACAAUAUACUAAUAUACCUAUCCAUGUAUUAAGCUGUUAAUGGUUUCUACUCGAGCUAACUUCAAUCUCCUAAAUACGAAAUGAACAGGUGAUGGAUUUCUUGCGAAGAUUGGUGGAAUGGAAACAAAUGCAGCCAAGAAUGUGAAAGGAUAAUAUAAUAAACGAAUGACAAUGUUCGAAAUGCCAGUGGACAUAUUGGUGAAUGUAUAAUGAAUAUGUACAUGCCUAAUUAAUUUAUCUUGGAACGUUGUAAUUGGUAAAGGAUAGGGCAAUGUCUUAAUAUGCCCCCUUAGGUUAAUCUUAUUUUGUUUUCGUAAGAAAAAAAAAAGAUGAACAAGAAAAGAGGUGACAAAUUUGUUUCCAGCAGUCUAGUAAGUUGUAACUAUCUUUGUAAAAGCAAAUAUGUUAAUUAAGAAAGAAGUUUUAUUUAACGUUGUCUCUGCGUUUUAAUAUAAUAACGGGUUUUCGGUAUCUACGUACUGACGUACAUUCCGUCUUGUUUGAGAAUUAUAUUAAAAUAUCGAUCUAACAAUAAAGAGAUUUGUUCGUAUGAAAAUCUUUGUGAAAGUAUAUGUUAUGCCAAUGUUUGGUAGUUACUGAAAUAGCUAUAGUUUCUAGCUCCUUCUCUUUUAUUUCCCAUGUUCUUCAAUCUAUAUAUGUAUAUAAUAUUUAUAAUUUAAAAGUUUACAUUACAUUUGGAGACGGUGCAUGACAGAGUAAAAACUAUAUUUAACUAUUAUUUGUAAAUUGUAUGUGACACAUAUUUAGUAAAAUAGUUAAAUAUGUGGAUAUAAUGCGACGAAUUUGAAAGUGUUUGAUACUUUGAUGUAUCUAGAUUUGUCUCACUUUGUGUACUUGUCUACUGACACUUUGACACAUAGCCUCAUGGGGUCCAAGUGAAACUAAAUUAUCAAUUCAAAUCUGUCUGGGACGUACUUUUCACCAGUAUAUAUAGACGAAUCAACCUAACCAAGUUAAACCGCUUCAAAACCACGAAUUUAUUACUUUUAUUCUUGCUCGUAGUGGCAAAGGCAAACUCUGGAAAGUUGGACGUCUUAUUUUGUUUUAUUGUUAUUUUGGGUCAAGUCGUGUUCCUCUUCGUGCAUGUCCUUUGGCCCUGAUUACGAACGCUCUGUAUAUUUAUUUGCUGGUACGAGACAAAUUUGUUAUAUCGUUUGUAGCAGCAGAUUUUGUAGUUGUGUUUCCAAUCCAUGAUAAUUAAUGCGAUAACGCUUCUUUUUUUUUUUUUUUUUAAAUGAUUUUGUGCAUUUCUAAUGGAUGAUAUUUUUUCUCUACAAACGUAAAUAUAUCCAUUUGUAUAUUUGGACUUUAUAUCUUUUAGGUCAGGGACGAUAAUUUUUUUUUUUUUUGGACAAAUGAGUCUCAUCCACGAACGCAUUGUCGACUUGAACUCUAAUCUGACAAUAUUUAGUUAGUCCCGUUCCAACUUCCAAUAACCCGGUUGAAGUAAUCAAAUAAACUAAUUUCGAUGUAUUGCAGAUGAUCCAUUUAUGUAACAAUAGAACAACUAGAUGUGAAACUUGAAACUGAAACCCUCAUACUUCUCAAUUUAUAUCUAGUUGUGUUACAGAAUAUGACCAAGUGGUGUUUGGUCUACUAGCAUACACAUGGUCUCUUCAAAUAAGUGAGAAAUCGUGCUCUCUUGGUUCAAGUGUCACUUAAGAGAAGUUUUGGUUCCGAUGGAAAGACAUAUGGGUCAAAGUCGAUAAUUUCUCAAUUAACCAUUAAAAUAAUCACGAUAUUGUAUUUUUUUUUACAAUAAUAAUGCUUGAAAUAUUUGGAGUAUGUACAUAAACUUUAAUGAUAUUUACUUAUACAAUUGCCUAUGCAUUACAGUACUAUUGUCCGCAAACUAUUUAGCCGUAGAAUUAUAAACGACUUAGACAAAUUACAGCACACAAGUAGAUAAAUUGUACAUGUCAAGCCAAAUAAUCUCUGACUUUCCUACGUUACUGUUUCCUAUUCUUACUCGAAUUGGUGCUUACGUCUUUUGGAAAUCUGACAGUAUAGAUGGUAUAUACAGAGACAUAAUUGAAUACAUACAUAUGUACAUGUUACAUAGAUGGACAUAUAUAAGAGUGGCUAGAACAUCAUCCGAUGCAUGCACGUAGUCUCUGUGAAAGCUGAGAUAUGUGUACAAAAGAAAAGUAAUAACUAUACGUAUAGUGUCAUAGCAAAUCAAUAAUAGUGGAUGGUCAUUAUUGUCAAAGCUUUUUGUCCAUAGCUUUUGGGUGUAUAAUGCGACUAACUAUCACAAUAAAGCUGCAUGUGUUUUCAAUCCCUUUCGAUGUAGACAUAUCACCAAUACUCAGUUUUACUAAUAUAUAUAUAUAUGUAUUCUCAUUGUCCAUGACCUAGAUUAAAUAAUAACGAAAUUACACUAGAAACCCAUAAGUUUCCGUAUUGAAUUUGUGAACGUAGCUAUGUAGGAUAUGAUAUGUGUAAGGACUAAGAAGUAAGAAUCAUUGCACCAAAGAUGUGGUGGCCUAGUUGUGAAAAAGGGUUUGUUCCCUUGUACUCAAGUUCAAAUUCUUUUUUAGUACGGUAGAGUAUUUUUUUAAAUCGGUAGAGUACUCAAGUUGAAAAUCUACUUGUAUACUCUAGUUACAUCUAUCUACCUAUACAAGACAAUAAAAUUGUUUUAAGAUCUUGUAUUAAUAAAGUAACUAAAAUCUAAAAUAAUGGAAAAUCUAUAUAUACAUUUUUGGAGAUAUUUAUUAAAUAAAUUCUGAAGUUCCAACUUAUUUACGAUCAAAUGCCAUCGACAUUAAUUAUUUAGAUUUUUAAAAUUAAAUCAAAUAUAUUAACAUAAAAAAUCAUUUCCAAAAAUCUUAACCUAAUAUAUUAAGCAUAACUAAUCCUUGACACAAUUACAUCCAUAUUCAAUUCGAUUUCCUAAAAGAUCUCAACAAUCCCUACAUUUAAUCGUAGCCAUUCAAAUCUUAAUCUGGUUUUUAAUCUUCAAUUUUGGUCGUCGGUCAUUCGCAAUUAAUUCAGAAAUCCUUAUAUAGAAUUGAUUAUUAUUAACUAAUAUUUAAAUAUAUAUAUAUAUAUAUAUAUAUAUAAAAUCAAACUUUUAAAUUGAUUCAAAUUAUAUGUCUAUAAAAUAAAAUAUUAUUAAAAAUAACAAAAUAAUGUUUAAUUUCACGGGACGAGGUUAUAUAGUGGGACGGAUUUGGAUCGAUAUUAAUACGGGACGAUAUUAAUAUCACGGAUGAAAUCUUAAAAUUAACAAUCAAAAUACAAUUAUACAAUCUUAAACACUUAAUAAAAUAAAUAAUAUUAAAAAAUUAAUUUAAAAUUUAAUUUUUUAGUUAAAAAAUCGACUUACCGCAGGGUAAAAUCUAGUCUAUAUAUACAUUUUUGGAGACAUUUAUAAAAUAAAUCAUGGAAUGCUAAUUUAUUUACGAUCAAAUGCCAUUGACAUUAAUUAUUUAGAUUUUUAAAAUUAAAUCAAAGAUAUUAACAUAAAAAAUCAUUUUCAAAAAUCUUAACCUAAUAUAUUAAGCAAAACUAAUCCUUGCCACAAUUACAUCCAUAUUCAAUUCAAUUUCUUUAAAAGAUCUUAACAAUCCCUACAUUUAAUCAUGGCCAUUCAAAUCUUAAUCCGGGUUUUAAUCUUCAAUCUUGACCGUCGAUCAUACGCAAUUAAUUCAGAAAUUAUUAUAUAGAAUUAAAUAUUAUUAACUAAAAUUUAAAAAUAUAUAUAUAAAAUCAAAAUUUUAAAUUGACUUAAAUUAUAUGUCUAUUAAAUAAAAUAUUAUUAAAAAUAAAAAAAUGAUAUCUAAUUUCACGGGACGGGGUUAUAUAAUGGGACGGGUUUGAUCGAUAUUAAUACGGGACAGUAUUAAUAUUACAUAUGAAAUCCUAAAAUUAACAAUAAAAAAACAGUUAUACAAUCUUAAACACUUAACAAAAUAAAAAAUAUUAAAAAAUAUAAUAUAAAAUUUAAUUUUUUAGUUAAAAAAUGGACAUGCGGUGUACAGCGGGGUAAAAUCUAGUAUGUAUACAUUUUCAGAGGCAUUUUUAAUUUGAAAUAAAUUCUGGAGUUUACAGUUAUUUACAAUGUAAUGCCACUGAUAUUAAUUCUUAAGAUUUAUUUUUUAAUUAAAUAUAUGUAAAUUUAAUUUGUUUGACAAAUAUCUAGAGAGAAUCUUUUUUAAUAUCUUGACAAUGAUCAUUUAUACUCUUAAUUAUAGGCUGCAUCUAAUUAUGAUUCUAAGAGCAUGAUUAAAGGCAAGCUCUUAUAGAAAUCUUAAGCUUUUCUUAACAUUUAAAGCAAUAUAAUUUAAUCAACUUUGUGCUUUAACUUUAAGAAACGUUCCUUGGCUAAGGAACAUUUCUUAGCUAAGAGCAUAUAUGGACAAAAUAUUCCAGAAAUUAAGUUUAAAAUAUUUAUGCUUUCUGUUAUUUAUGUUAUACAUUGUAUCUCAUGUAUGUUUUAAUUUUUUUAAUUUGCAACCAUUAUUAAAUUUUCUAUAAUUAUAAACUUUAUUCUAUGUUAAUUUUUUUUUCUAAGAACCACAUUUUAAGAACCUACCAUUAAUAAUACAAAAAUCUUAACUCAAAAAUACUAUCUCUUAACAAUCACUUUUAUACAUAUAUUACUUAAAUAUUGCUAAAAUGUAUUUCUAAGAUACUACUAAUAAUCAUGCUCUAAUAAACAACAGAACAUACUACAAAUUCCUUUUUCUCGUCGUGAACAUGAGAAAUAUUUUUGAAGGUUGCAAAUACUUUGAGGAUGAGAGAGUUUUAGCCUCUGUUUGAGUAAUUUUGUAAUUUUUGUUAUUGUCCCUGUUUGGAUCUUUUGUGGUGUAUCCAUUCUUUUGUAUAGGCUAUUUGAUUUGUUCAAAGGAGUUAGAGUUAGUUGCAGUUUGUGUGAGGUUCUGUCUCGUUUGCAGGUGUAGGUGUGGUUCGAAUUUUGUAACUUGUUUCACACUUAUGCAUUCUAAUAUAACAACAGAUGACCAAAAAAAAGGUUGCAAAUACUUUAUUUUAUAUAGUUUCGUAGAUAUGUCUAAAUAGUCUCACCAUUUCUAGAGACUCAACAACAUAAUAAAAAAGAAAAUAAAUAAAAACUCUAAAUCAACUUUUAUGUUCUGUUUCACCAAGAACAUAAGAUGAGUAAGGAUAUGACUCAAAUAGCCCGGACAUCGCCGUCGGCGAGGUAGCGUUUGCGGAGAGCGGCACAGCCACGGAGCGGUUCGUCCCUGAAGAAACCCAUGGCGUUGGCAAAGUGGCGAGUAGAGGCGGCUCCGUUGGAGCGCGUGAGGAUCACGGUGGCGGUGCUUCUGCCAGGAUCAGCCUCUUGGCAGCGGGACAGAGGACUGUGAACAAGCUCCGCCAGACAUUGCUGGUCCUGUCGGUCUCCUCUGACGGCGACUUUGUAUUUCCCAUUGGGUCCCGUCACCGCCACCCCAACCAACUCCGAUUUCAGUGUCACUCUGUCUUUGCAUACUAUUCUCACUCUUGCCCCUGUUUUUCAUAUAACCCUUAAAAUAUUUUUAAGUGUUUCAAAUAAAACAAUUGCUGCUUUUGUUUUUACUUGCGAUUUCAUUUCUAUAUAUAGAAUUUUGGAUUUUUAUACUUAUCAAGAUAAUCUGUAAAAUGCAAUUAACAAAUUAUUUAAACGUAAACAAAAAAUUGAAGUUUUAGACUUUAAGUUGAUUUAAUUGAAAAUUUACCGAAUGGAUGGUUUUCUAUUUACAUGUAUACAAUGGGAAAUAUAUAUAUAUAUAUAUAUAUAUAUAUAUAUAUAUAUAUAUAUAUGAGGAUAAUAAGUACGUAAGUAUAAAUACGGACCGUGGAUAUAUUUGGUGGCAAUUGUCUCGAAUCCAAAACGGCAAGUGUCGCAGUAAACACAUCCUUCAAUGUGGAAUGGUGUUCCAACCGCCAUGGCCGCAAGUGGGAGCAACGAAACGAAUAACACAACGAUCACAGGUACCAAUGAUUUAGCCAUCUCCAUAAACUGAAAGAACGAUAUUGUAGAUUUUGGAGAUUGUUAUUAGUGAAGGGGUUUUCUGUUUUAUGUGAAAACUAUGUAUUAUAUAAGAAGGGAAAUGAAGUGCACAUGUAGUAAAGAAGGUGUAAGUGUAUCGCAUCUUGUGCAAAUUAAAAGCUUCCUUAGUGUCGGCUGGAUCCACUUGCGGCUGCUCCUCCGCCGUACACGGCGAGAGAGUUUGUGUUGCCUUCUACACAAGUCAACUCUUAUGGUUCUUGUUAAUUCUAGUCUACGUCUCGAUCGGACUUUACAUUUUUAUUUCGACUAAUUUAUUCGGCAUUUGACUUUAUGUAUAUAAUUCUACUACUAUUUUUAACAAAGUUUUCUAAACUGGAUUUAUCCCAUCCAAGAUAUUUUUGAAAGUAGAUUCUUUGGAAAAUAGGAAAUCUAGUUUUUGGAGUUUCCCACCAAUUUUCAGUAAGAAUCUAAUAUCCAAUCUACUUGGGGUUUUCACUUACAAUUUGUAUUUUCUGUUUUUUUUUUUUUGUAACAAAAUCCAAAACGUAAAAGUCAAAAUUUAAAAUCAAAAAAACUAAAAACUAUAAUCUAAAAAUCUUUUAAAAAUCCUCAAACAUGCUAAGUCGUAUAAGAUGGAGCAUUAUGUUACAAAUAGUUCACUUUAGGUUAUAAAAUAAUGAAAAUUUUGAAAUAUUGGAACAAUAAUCUUUAUCGGAAAAAAAAUGGAACAAAAAGAAAAGUUUGUUAAAUUGAGAGAGUGAUGAAACUGCUGGUUAGCUUCGGUCUGACCAGAACGUGCUUUUGUUUCGUCUUAACGUAAGAGUGCAUUUGAACACUAACGAUUCUCUAGAUAUUAUCUUGUAGGCUGGUUGUACAUAACUACAUAUAGAUUAUAUUUAGUAAAAAUCAGAUUCGUUAAAGAUGAGUAAUGUUCACUUUGACUUAUGCUUCCAUGUUUUUGUUUUUUUUUGCCAUAGGACCAUUUUCAUAGAUUUUAAAUCUUUGAUUGUAAUCCUAAAUUGUUUUCAUUUUCAUUGAAAUAUUUAUAUUCUUGCAAAAAAGAAAAUAAAAAAAGAUGAUUAAUGUUCACAGUGACGUCUGUGUUCCAAAGAAAAUACAGUUCUGAAAGAAAUAUACUAUAUCUAUAUGUGAAUUAUAUGUAUAAUAUUUACUGUAAUGUCUAAAUACAUAUUUCUUAUCAUUUAAUUUUAUAAAUGUGGAUUAAGGGAUUUCUUCGUGGAUGACGGAAGUGAUGCUGGUCCGAAGAAAAUAUGGAAGAGGUCGGUCACGUAAACAACAAUGAAUCUUAAUAACUAAGCCUAUAUAUUGGGCCGAAGGUGACCGACAUGGGCCCAAUAAACCCAUUCCAACCAUUCGCGUUUAUUAAUUACGACGAGAAAAAAAACGCACUGAGAGAGCGCCACGUUUUCUUUGCAAAAUAGGCCGUAGGCUUCUUCACAGUGAAGCAAACACAAGUUUUAGAGAGAAGAGAAGAACACAUACACGCAAGAUCUCGAUGCAAUUCUCUCACGAAUAAGGUACAAAGUUUCAUCAACCUUUUUGUCUUUAAACAGAUAAUAUUGACUUAAAUCUAGUCUACUUAUGUAUCACACACAAAGUCUCUUGGCCAAAGAGAGAGUAUUAAGAUAUACAAACGCUCGCCCUUAUCAGCGGAAUAAUUACAUAUCUUUUUUUUUCACAAUCAUAUAAUAUGUUUUGGAUUUUGAUUUCAACCGCCGAUUAAAUGUGGCUAAUUAAGCAGCGGGAGAGUCACCGGAAGAUUGUCGGAGAUUUGUCCUGCAGGUGAAAUCUCCAUCUCAGCUUCUGCUCCCACAUGAUGAUUCUUCUCCAUCUGUACGAUAAUCAUAGGUCAAAAUCACUAUUCACUUUCUUCUUUUUGUCUUCUAUCCAAGGAAUAUCUUUUUCAUACCAUCAAUU